GACAGAGGUGCCGAGCGUUAGGCGGAAUCACUGGGCUUAAAGCGUGUGUAGGCGGGCGGCCAAGUACCUUGUGAAAUCCCACGGCUCAACCGUGGAACUGCUGGGUAUACUGGUCGUCUUGAGCCAAUCAGGGGCGAGCGGAACAGACGGUGGAGCGGUGAAAUGCGUAGAGAUGUGGAGGAACACCAGUGGCGAAGGCGACUCUGUGGACUAUAACUGACGCUGAGGCGCGAAAGCGUGGGGAGCAAACAGG
rnacentral:rRNA from 1 species